rnacentral:misc_RNA from 1 species
AGUAUUGCUACGUGAGUUGUAUUCGAUUUUAAAACUGUAGUAAAAUCCAUUAAAUUUAUUAUAGUCUUUAUCCUAGAAUAAAUUGUUUUUUAUAAUUUUUGUAUAUUAUUCAUUUUUAUUUGUGUUCUUUAAGUAAGUUCGUGAUUUUAAAUAUGCGUGUUAGUGCUUUGCUUUAACAAGCAUUGAGCUUGAGCUUUGUC